rnacentral:rRNA from 1 species
AUUGAACGCUGGCGGCAUGCCUUACACAUGCAAGUCGAACGGCAGCACGGGUGCUUGCACCUGGUGGCGAGUGGCGAACGGGUGAGUAAUACAUCGGAACAUGUCCUGUAGUGGGGGAUAGCCCGGCGAAAGCCGGAUUAAUACCGCAUACGAUCUACGGAUGAAAGCGGGGGACCUUCGGGCCUCGCGCUAUAGGGUUGGCCGAUGGCUGAUUAGCUAGUUGGUGGGGUAAAGGCCUACCAAGGCGACGAUCAGUAGCUGGUCUGAGAGGACGACCAGCCACACUGGGACUGAGACACGGCCCAGACUCCUACGGGAAGCAGCAGUGGGGAAUUUUGGACAAUGGGCGAAAGCCUGAUCCAGCAAUGCCGCGUGUGUGAAGAAGGCCUUCGGGUUGUAAAGCACUUUUGUCCGGAAAGAAAUCCUUGGCCCUAAUACGGUCGGGGGAUGACGGUACCGGAAGAAUAAGCACCGGCUAACUACGUG